rnacentral:rRNA from 1 species
AUUGAACGCUGGCGGCAUGCCUUACACAUGCAAGUCGAACGGUAACAGGUCUUCGGAUGCUGACGAGUGGCGAACGGGUGAGUAAUACAUCGGAACGUGCCCGAUCGUGGGGGAUAACGAAGCGAAAGCUUUGCUAAUACCGCAUAAGAUCUACGGAUGAAAGCAGGGGACCGCAAGGCCUUGCGCGAACGGAGCGGCCGAUGGCAGAUUAGGUAGUUGGUGGGAUAAAAGCUUACCAAGCCGACGAUCUGUAGCUGGUCUGAGAGGACGACCAGGCACACUGGGGCUGAGAGACGGCCCAGACUCCUGAGGGAGGCAGCAGUGGGGAAAUUUGGACAGUGGGCGAAAGCCUGAUCCAGCCAUGCCGCGUGCAGGAUGAAGGCCUUCGGGUUGUAAACUGCUUUUGUACGGAACGAAAAGACUCUUUCUAAUAAAGAGGGUCCAUGACGGUACCGUAAGAAUAAGCACCGGCUAACUACGUGCCAGCCGCCGCGGUAA